rnacentral:rRNA from 1 species
GAUGAACGCUGGCGGCGUGCCUAAUACAUGCAAGUCGAGCGAACGGACGAGAAGCUUGCUUCUCUGAUGUUAGCGGCGGACGGGUGAGUAACACGUGGAUAACCUACCUAUAAGACUGGGAUAACUUCGGGAAGCCGGAGCUAAUACCGGAUGAUAUUUUGAACCGCAUGGUUCAAAAGUGAAAGACGGUCUUGCUGUCACUUAUAGAUGGAUCCGCGCUGCAUUAGCUAGUUGGUAAGGUAACGGCUUACCAAGGCAACGAUGCAUAGCCGACCUGAGAGGGUGAUCGGCCACACUGGAACUGAGACACGGUCCAGGCUCCUACGGGAGGCAGCAGUAGGGAAUCUUCCGCAAUGGGCGAAAGCCUGACGGAGCAACGCCGCGUGAGUGAUGAAGGUCUUCGGAUCGUAAAACUCUGUUAUUAGGGAAGAACAUAUGUGUAAGUAACUGUGCACAUCUUGACGGUACCUAAUCAGAAAGCCACGGCUAACUACGUG